rnacentral:sRNA from 1 species
ACUUUAUUCAGGCCUUUGCUAAACGAAACUCUACAGAGACGCUCUCCAGGCUUUUCCAUCCAAAUAGCAUCUAUUGUCAUCUUCUCACCUUGUCUUGCUUCAGUUUUCUUCGUAGAAAACCAACCUCAUAGCAAACCAUUGCCCUCAGAUAUUGCAGUAAUCAUGUACACAAGUGGAUCCACAGGACUUCCAAAGGGAGUCAUGAUCUCACAUAGUAACAUUAUUGCUGGUAUAACUGGGAUGGCAGAAAGGAUUCCAGAACUGGGAGAGGAAGAUGUCUACAUUGGAUAUUUGCCUCUGGCCCAUGUUCUAGAAUUAAGUGCUGAGCUUGUCUGUCUUUCUCACGGAUGCCGCAUUGGUUACUCUUCACCACAGACUUUAGCAGAUCAGUCUUCAAAAAUUAAAAAAGGAAGCAAAGGGGAUACAUCCAUGUUGAAACCAACACUGAUGGCAGCAGUUCCGGAAAUCAUGGAUCGGAUCUACAAAAAUGUCAUGAAUAAAGUCAGUGAAAUGAGUAGUUUUCAACGUAAUCUGUUUAUUCUGGCCUAUAAUUACAAAAUGGAACAGAUUUCAAAAGGACGUAAUACUCCACUGUGCGACAGCUUUGUUUUCCGGAAAGUUCGAAGCUUGCUAGGGGGA